UACAGUUGGCACAUAGUCACUAGGAAACUUGUUUGUAGUAUAGGAAAUAAGCAGACAGGUCUACAUUCAAACGGUCAGUAUGUGUAAAACUCAAAAGAACAAUUUUUGGAAAGAAAGAAAUAAAGGGGAAUGUAUAGACAAAAGAAACUUCAUUUUAGAUGAUAGCAAUUCUUGUAUUUUUUUAUGCAUUGCUUAACUUCACCUUCCGUAAACAUCAACUCACCUUUCCUACAGCACCGUCUCCUACU